rnacentral:misc_RNA from 1 species
AUCAUACCACUAGACCAAAUGCCCUGCUGCUGAAGUUAUUUCCUUUGAUGAUAAUUUCUUUUCCCAUUUAAGGCUUGAGUGCGUAGGAUUUUUAAAAAAUUUAUUUUACCCUCUAUGGAUCAAAUGAAACAUGUCUCUAAAUGGUACUGAGACUAAACGCUUGAUUUAUGAUCAUGAUUCCAAGAUCUAAUGCUCAUUUUUUCAAUUGAAUGAAUGGAAUCUUGU